rnacentral:lncRNA from 1 species
UUCAGAAUUUUCCCAGAAAAGUUCAACACAAAAAAUUAAUUCCAUCAUUGGAAUUUGAAAGUGCAUAAAACUAUAUCUACAAGUUCAAGAUUAAUAUAACUACAAGUUCAUAAAACUAUAUCUACAAGUUCGACGGAUGUGUCGAGGGCGGCGGUUGCUCCGGCGACUAUUGUUUGCUCGACGGUUGUGCGUCGUGUGGAGGUAGACGACGGCGCCGAUCUGGGCUCGCGGCGGAUCGCGGUGGCAGCAGAGUGGUAGGCCGCAUUUUUCCGGCAGCAGAUCCGUGCGAGAAAUCUUGGGGCGACGGUUGUUGGUGUCACGGUGUGCGGCGGCUGAGGUCUGGAGUGCCGCCGACUGAGGUCGGAACGCGUUGGAAGAGGCGGCGCCGCGCUGAGGGAUUCGAACCCUAGGCAGCGCGGGUUGGAAGAGGCGGCGCGGCGCUGAGAGAAUGGAGGCGGCGGUGGCGAUGGGGACGAAGGCGGCGGUGGCGGCGGAGGCUCUGCAAGUGUGGCGGUGGAGGCGGCAGUGAGGACGAAGGCGGCGGAAAGAAAAAUUGAGAGAGAGAGACGACAGAGAGAGAGAGGAUUGUGAGUGUGAGAGACUGUAGAGAGAGAGAGGAGUAUUGACGGAAGAGAGAGAGAGGAGAGAGGAGAGAGAAAAGAGAGAGGAGUUAUUUUAGGGAUACCAUAAAUCUUACUCCCUCCGUUCACGAAAAAGUGCCCCAUUUGGGUACUGGCACGGGUUUUAAGAAAGCUGAAAAAGGUG